GUGGGGAAUCUUGCGCAAUGGGCGAAAGCCUGACGCAGCCAUGCCGCGUGAAUGAUGAAGGUCUUAGGAUUGUAAAAUUCUUUCACCGGGGACGAUAAUGACGGUACCCGGAGAAGAAGCCCCGGCUAACUUCGUACCAGCAGCCGCGGUAAUACGAAGGGGGCUAGCGUUGCUCGGAAUUACUGGGCGUAAAGGGCGCGUAGGCGGACAGUUUAGUCAGAGGUGAAAGCCCAGGGCUCAACCUUGGAAUUGCCUUUGAUACUGGCUGUCUUGAGUACGGGAGAGGUGAGUGGAACUCCGAGUGUAGAGGUGAAAUUCGUAGAUAUUCGGAAGAACACCAGUGGCGAAGGCGACUCACUGGCCCGUUACUGACGCUGAGGCGCGAAAGCGUGGGGAGCAAACAGGAUUAGAAACCCGGGUAGUCC
rnacentral:rRNA from 1 species